rfam:Rattus norvegicus chromosome 4, whole genome shotgun sequence.
GGGGAUUUAGCUCAGUGGUAGAGCGCUUGCCUAGCAAACGCAAGGCCCUGGGUUCGAUCCCCAGCUCUG